GGGCAUUUAGCUCAGUUGGUAGAGCGUUCGAUUCACAUUCGAAAGGUCACUGGUUCGAAUCCAGUAAUGCCCA
rnacentral:tRNA from 1 species